UUUAACGGCCGCGGUAUACUGACCGUGCAAAGGUAGCGUAAUCACUUGUCUUUUAAAUAAAGUCUAGUAUGAACGGCAUCACGAGAACUAAUCUGUCUCCCUCCCCCAAUCAGUGAAACUGAUCUCCCCGUGCAGAAGCGGGGAUAAUCCCAUAAGACGAGAAGACCCUGCGGAGCUUCAAAUCAAAAAUCAACUGCUUUCCCCCCCCCACUAAGGAGACAUCCACGCAGAUCUGAUUUAGAUUUUCAGCUGGGGCGACUGUGGAGAAAAGAAAAUCCUCCAUGAAAUCUAUGCUAAAAGCUACUGCUACAGGCAUUAAUAAACUUAACUUUAAUUGACCCAUUUUUUGAUCAACGGACCAAGUUACCCCAGGGAUAACAGCGCAAUCCACUUUUAGAGUCCAUAUCGACAAGUGGGCUUACGACCUCGAUGUUGGAUCAGGGCAUCCAAGUGGUGCAGCCGCUACUAAAGGUUCGUUUGUUCAACGAUUAAAG
rnacentral:rRNA from 1 species